AUUUAACAGGAAUCAGCCAGGUGGUCGACUUGAUGCUUGAUGGUACUGUCUCUUGGGAGUUGUCAGCCAGCUGUCAACGCCGACAAGUCAAAAUGGAAGUCUCGGAAGAGAGAUUUCCAAGAGGUCAAGAGCCGAAAUUAUAUUAGCGGAUGUGACCACUCUGAUUUCACAUGGCCAAUCUCCUGGACCGUAGGUCAUCUGCUUCAAUUGUUGAAAGUGGUGUACAUUCCAAACCAUGCGAACCAGGAUCAAGAACUCGUACUGACAAAGGGGGAUACGCAGCCGCUUUGGCCACCUUUACUAAGGAUGUGUAUGCAAACCAGCUGAAGGUGCAAAAGUAACAACAAAAAUGGUUGUCAGAAGAAUUUGAAAGGGACAGGCAGUGGGAGGAGAAGAUGCUGGAUAACAUACGUGCAAGGCAUUCAGAAGACACAAAACAGCUGGUGACCACUUGCCUAAGUGGUCUUCACUCAAUUUAUGGCAGAAACACCCAGUCCCAGUUCAUAUCUUACUUCCAGUUCUUUCCACAAUCUGGUUUCUUUCCACCAACAUCUCCUUCUCCAGCCAUAUCCCCCUUCCCCAUCAAUUUCCAGUCUCCCAUUCACAUCCAGUCUCCUGCCCACAUCCACUCUCCUGUCCACAUCUCACUUUCGAACCAACAAAUUAAAAAUUAUCGGGUAUAAGGUCUACCUUUCAUGCAAAGGACUGUUUUCCUGUUACUCAUACGUCUUUCAUUGCCUUUGUGCCGUCAUCAGCGCGUCUUAUUUUAUUUUAUGCAUUUUUUUCAAUUUUACAUUACAGAGGAUGAUUUUUUUGUCCUCAUUUACUUGUAGCUUUGUCAUAUUUUGCUUCAACACGUCCUUUUUCUUUUGCAUUCUCAUGGACCGCACAUAGAUAAUACAUAUUAUGCUGAAUUUCGUUGUCACAAAUGCUUUUGAAUUUGAGAACGAUAUUGCAUAAGCAUUGUUACUGCGCAUAAAAAUUUAAAGUGAAAUACGAAAUGUAUCACUUGUUGAAUUUAGUUCAUUUGAUGACUGUACCAGAUUGUUUGUACAAAUUACUUACAGAGUAUACACUAUAAUUAUUAAAAUCUUAAUCUACAUCUUCUUAAUGGGUAAUUGGUUGCACAAUAUGUUUUUAGACAGUCUCUAAACCUUUCUGCAUCUUGGUCAGUUUUUGUACAAAUGUAUUCAUUUGGCUGUGGGAAUAUUUCAUUUCCCUUUACCAAGUCGUUUAGCUAGUUUUCGUUGGAGAGGUCUUUGUGCGUUUCAAUGAUGUUGUGUAGUACACAACAUCCAGAAACAACCUGAGGUACUGCUAUAGAUUUGGCAAGCACUUCCAUCGAGCUGAUCUUUGAGCCUACCGGAAGUAUUCUCCGCAACAGUUCUGGGAGAGCUCAAUUAAACACCAAAAGUUUCUUGUUCAGCUGAAAGUGUUCCUGUAUAUUGUUUCAUCAGCCAGGGUAGCAUGCUGCAUCCCCAAGCAGCAACUUUUGUACAACAGUCCCACUGAUUGUCCAUAGUGCCUAAGAAGAUAAAUUCAUUUCAGUAAAAAAUAUUGCAAUGCUAUUGAUUUUGUUUUUGAAUACCAUAAUAAGCAAUAACUUAGAAGAUAAGUGCAGCUGUCACGUGUUUCCGCGCAUGAAAAAGAACUACUUGCCAUAUAAUGAGUUAUUGAUGUAACACAUUUCUGGUUUAUUGCUUCCAUUUGAAAUUUGCAUGCUAUUGGUUUUAUAGAGCGUACAUUUGAAAAUUACUGGUCUAUACCGAAAUGUUUUUCAUAUUUCUGUAAAUUGUUUGUACUAGAUUACACACACACAGCAAGAUUAUUAAAUCAGUAUAACCUUGUUUCAUUGUAAGAUGAUGACAUUUUCAGUAAUGAUAUCUGGAAUUGUAAGUGCAUGACAUGUGAUACAAAAUGUUUCUAUAUGUGAAUUUACUGUAAUAAGGAAAUAGUUACCUGCAUUAGAAACAUGCAUUUCUUUUGGUAUUGUAUUUUUGAAACAUUCUCUCCUGAUGUGUGGUUUGGGUCGGUGUCUUUUUCAGCAUUUUUUUAGCCUGCAGAAUAUGUAAAUAUAUAGUUUCUUGCUUAGUAGGGGAUUUUUAAUUUCUGAAGAAAAAUAAUUCAUAAAGAGGUAAUAUUUAUGUACUUUUUUUGACAACAUGCUACAGGGGAUUCUUCUCACAUACUGGACCUAUGUUACAUGGCUGAUAUUAAUGUUCCUGAAACUGUAAAAUGGAAACUAUCAUUGUAAAUUUAUAAGAAAACAUUUCACAUAUCAAUAAUGACAAUAAAC